GACGAACGCUGGCGGCGUGCCUAAUACAUGCAAGUUGAGCGCUGAAGGUUGGUACUUGUACCAACUGGAUGAGCAGCGAACGGGUGAGUAACGCGUGGGUAAGCUGCCUUUGAGCGGGGGACAACAUUUGGAAACGAAUGCUAAUACCGCAUAAAAACUUUAAACACAAGUUUUAAGUUUGAAAGAUGCAAUUGCAUCACUCAAAGAUGAUCCCGCGUUGUAUUAGCUAGUUGGGGAGGUAAAGGCUCACCAAGGCGAUGAUACGUAGCCGACCUGAGAGGGUGGUCGGCCAAAUUGGGACUGAGACACGGCCCAAACUCCUACGGGAGGCAGCAGUAGGGAAUCUUCGGCAAUGGACGAAAGUCUGACCGAGCAACGCCGCGUGAGUGAAGAAGGUUUUCGGAUCGUAAAACUCUGUUGGUAGAGAAGAACGUUGGUGAGAGUGGAAAGCUCAUCAAGUGACGGUAACUAAACAGAAAGGGACGGCUAACUACGUG
rnacentral:rRNA from 1 species